UACAGAGGUGGCAAGCGUUGUUCGGAAUUACUGGGCGUAAAGGGCGCGUAGGCGGCCUUCUAAGUCAGACGUGAAAUCCCCAGGCUUAACUUGGGAACUGCGUCUGAUACUGGGAGGCUUGAGUGCGGGAGAGGGAUGUGGAAUUCCAGGUGUAGCGGUGAAAUGCGUAGAUAUCUGGAGGAACACCGGUGGCGAAGGCGGCAUCCUGGACCAAUUCUGACGCUGAGGAGCGAAAGCCAGGGGAGCAAACGGG
rnacentral:rRNA from 1 species